rnacentral:rRNA from 1 species
AUUGAACGCUGGCGGCAGGCCUAACACAUGCAAGUCGAGCGGAUGAAGGGAGCUUGCUCCUGGAUUCAGCGGCGGACGGGUGAGUAAUGCCUAGGAAUCUGCCUGGUAGUGGGGGAUAACGUCCGGAAACGGGCGCUAAUACCGCACACGUCCUGAGGGAGAAAGUGGGGGAUCUUCGGACCUCACGCUAUCAGAUGAGCCUAGGUCGGAUUAGCUAGUUGGUGGGGUAAAGGCCUACCAAGGCGACGAUCCGUAACUGGUCUGAGGGGAUGAUCAGUCACACUGGAACUGAGACACGGUCCAGACUCCUACGGGAGGCAGCAGUGGGGAAUAUUGGACAAUGGGCGAAAGCCUGAUCCAGCCAUGCCGCGUGUGUGAAGAAGGUCUUCGGAUUGUAAAGCACUUUAAGUUGGGAGGAAGGGCAGUAAGUUAAUACCUUGCUGUUUUGACGUUACCAACAGAAUAAGCACCGGCUAACUUCGUG